rnacentral:lncRNA from 1 species
UGAAAAGGAUCGGAUGGAUCAGAAGAGGCAAGAACGACUUUGCCGUCACGGAUAGUGAGAGAGUAAUUGGGAUCAGCCUUUGUAUAAACCCUAAAUGAAGGCUUAUCGAUGAGCUCUGGAUGUGGUGAGGUCUCAUGGUGGAAGAAUGAAGGCACAUGUGGUUGAAAACGAUGAUGAUCAUGCUGACGAUGAACGCUCUCACUCUCACUCUCGUGAGACACGUGUUCGACGGAGGAAUAACUAGGUGGUUGCGGUGGUGGCGGGCCCUCAUAAUAAGGCGGUGUACGAUUAUAAGAUCCACCAU